CCCUUAGAUGUUCUGGGCCGCACGCGUGCUACACUGAGUAAUUCAAUGGGUAAGGGAACGCUAGAGCAUUACCUAAUCUUGAAAUUUGCUCGUGAUGGGGAUCGACGGUUGCAAUUUUCCGUCGUGAACGAGGAACACCUUGUAGGCGCAUGUCAUCAUCAUGCGCCGAAUACGUCCCUGCCCUUUGUACACACCGCCCGUCGCUCCUACCGAUUGAGUGAUCCGGUGAGGCUCUGAGACCUGGACGGAAAGAGCGUUUCGCUUGUUCUGUUUGGGAAACUUGGUCGAACCUUAUCAUUUAGAGGAAGGAGAAGUCGUAACA
rnacentral:rRNA from 1 species